GAUUUUGCGAACGACGACAUUGAUAGGAGACCACAGCCACGAGCGGGAUCUAAGACCAGGACCGCACGGUAGCAGGACACCCGGUCGCCAAUACCCGUGCCGUGAACUCCCGACUAAACAUGAUCGGCACCAAGAAGGUCCUUGUUGCACUCCUCAUCCUGGCUAUGGUCUUAGCCAUCGAGACCGCAAAGGCCGGAAAACCUGAUAAUCGUGGCUUGGGCAGCAAUCGUGACAGCGGCUUUGGCCACGAACGUGGCUUUCGUGAUCGAAGUCGUGAAACCUCACCCCCACGUGGCUCUAAAGGUAGCCCAGACCUUCGAAACUGGCGCGGCUUUAAACAAGGUUGAUGGCGCAGCUUUGGGAUGAAGCGCACUAGCUCUGGACGAAACUGCAUUCUGAGUAUAGAAAGAGUCGCGCAGAUUUCAAGAAUGCGACAUGUAAACUGAAUUUCAAAAAACAUUAUCGCCUGUAACUUAUAGCAAGUCCCGUGGUUUAUUAUGCGGUCGAAAAUUUUGUUUUAUCUCUGAAAUAUGAGAUGCGUGUAUACACAAUCUUCGUGCCACCAAUGGGUUGUGUGAAGAGAAGUUACCAAAUUGUGACAGUAUCUUUAUGACAACACCGAUUGCCGGUGGUGCACUGGUGCUGCCGAACCGCCAAAUGUUAUCACGUAAAAAAACAAGAAAAAAAAAAGGCGCUGCGAAUUUUACCGGAUGUCCGUAGCAACACUAUCUUUCUACUUUAUUCUGCAAGGUAAUUUUCGAGCCUCUUCUCGUGCUUUCCUUAGGCAGUCCAUGCGAGUAUACUCAUGAAAUGUGAAGUGUCGCUUGCCACACCUUUGUACAGUCAUCAAUAAAAUGAUUCCUAAAUAUCACAGUGCAAGUUUGCACAACCUUCUGCUCAAUCUGUUUUCUAGCACUGAAUAUUGUGUCGUGACAUGUUUUUUUAUGGAGAGAAAAGGCUAAAGUUAGCGCUUAGUGUCUUACGAAACAUAUUUUGUUGAAAUACAGAGCAUUAAAGUACAAACCGCAUGCACGCGAUCUUGCGCGCGACAGCGACAAGCGACGAGAUGGAGAUUGCUGUCACGUUCGCUUGUCCAACACCGAAGAGCUACAUGGAAGUUUUGCUUUGCACUACCACCACUAUGCAGUCGUGGUUGUGGAAGAUCAAACAUAAUGAAUCACGGCCUCGAUCGCGCUUAAGAUUCUACGACCACAGUCAUCAGUGGCAGUGGUUAUGGUGGUGGUGGUGGUAACAUUUAUUUAGGUCCUGAAGAAUCUUCACCCCGUUUUUAUAGGGGCAAGACUGCGGGCCGCUCCCACGUUGGGACGGGAAGGCCAAGCCUCACCGCCGCAUCGUGGGCCUUCUGGACAGCCCGGAGUUGAUUAAUCCAUUCGUGGCUCUUGACCAAGGAAUCUGUGAUUUGCACCCGAAAAUCGAGCUCCUCGUUCCUGACGUGCUCAGUAGUUGCCUUUCUCUUUGACGGCCUAACCUCAGAAUGAGUAUCCAUUGGAACCUCAGCUGUUGGCGACUCC
rnacentral:lncRNA from 1 species